UUAAGCGACUAAGCGUACACGGUGGAUGCCCUGGCAGUCAGAGGCGAUGAAGGACGUGCUAAUCUGCGAUAAGCGUCGGUGAGGUGAUAUGAACCGUUAUAACCGGCGAUUUCCGAAUGGGGAAACCCAGUGUGUUUCGACACACUAUCAUUAACUGAAUCCAUAGGUUAAUGAGGCGAACCGGGGGAACUGAAACAUCUAAGUACCCCGAGGAAAAGAAAUCAACCGAGAUUCCCCCAGUAGCGGCGAGCGAACGGGGAGGAGCCCAGAGCCUGAAUCAGUGUGUGUGUUAGUGGAAGCGUCUGGAAAGGCGUGCGAUACAGGGUGACAGCCCCGUACACAAAAAUGCACAUAUUGUGAGCUCGAUGAGUAGGGCGGGACACGUGGUAUCCUGUCUGAAUAUGGGGGGACCAUCCUCCAAGGCUAAAUACUCCUGACUGACCGAUAGUGAACCAGUACCGUGAGGGAAAGGCGAAAAGAACCCCGGCGAGGGGAGUGAAAAAGAACCUGAAACCGUGUACGUACAAGCAGUGGGAGCCUCUUAAUGGGGUGACUGCGUACCUUUUGUAUAAUGGGUCAGCGACUUAUAUUCUGUAGCAAGGUUAACCGAAUAGGGGAGCCGAAGGGAAACCGAGUCUUAACUGGGCGUUAAGUUGCAGGGUAUAGACCCGAAACCCGGUGAUCUAGCCAUGGGCAGGUUGAAGGUUGGGUAACACUAACUGGAGGACCGAACCGACUAAUGUUGAAAAAUUAGCGGAUGACUUGUGGCUGGGGGUGAAAGGCCAAUCAAACCGGGAGAUAGCUGGUUCUCCCCGAAAGCUAUUUAGGUAGCGCCUCGUGAAUUCAUCUCCGGGGGUAGAGCACUGUUUCGGCAAGGGGGUCAUCCCGACUUACCAACCCGAUGCAAACUGCGAAUACCGGAGAAUGUUAUCACGGGAGACACACGGCGGGUGCUAACGUCCGUCGUGAAGAGGGAAACAACCCAGACCGCCAGCUAAGGUCCCAAAGUCAUGGUUAAGUGGGAAACGAUGUGGGAAGGCCCAGACAGCCAGGAUGUUGGCUUAGAAGCAGCCAUCAUUUAAAGAAAGCGUAAUAGCUCACUGGUCGAGUCGGCCUGCGCGGAAGAUGUAACGGGGCUAAACCAUGCACCGAAGCUGCGGCAGCGACACUAUGUGUUGUUGGGUAGGGGAGCGUUCUGUAAGCCUGUGAAGGUGGCCUGUGAGGGUUGCUGGAGGUAUCAGAAGUGCGAAUGCUGACAUAAGUAACGAUAAAGCGGGUGAAAAGCCCGCUCGCCGGAAGACCAAGGGUUCCUGUCCAACGUUAAUCGGGGCAGGGUGAGUCGACCCCUAAGGCGAGGCCGAAAGGCGUAGUCGAUGGGAAACAGGUUAAUAUUCCUGUACUUGGUGUUACUGCGAAGGGGGGACGGAGAAGGCUAUGUUGGCCGGGCGACGGUUGUCCCGGUUUAAGCGUGUAGGCUGGUUUUCCAGGCAAAUCCGGAAAACCAAGGCUGAGGCGUGAUGACGAGGCACUACGGUGCCGAAGUGACAAAUGCCCUGCUUCCAGGAAAAGCCUCUAAGCAUCAGGUAACAUCAAAUCGUACCCCAAACCGACACAGGUGGUCAGGUAGAGAAUACCAAGGCGCUUGAGAGAACUCGGGUGAAGGAACUAGGCAAAAUGGUGCCGUAACUUCGGGAGAAGGCACGCUGAUAUGUAGGUGAAGCGACUUGCUCGUGGAGCUGAAAUCAGUCGAAGAUACCAGCUGGCUGCAACUGUUUAUUAAAAACACAGCACUGUGCAAACACGAAAGUGGACGUAUACGGUGUGACGCCUGCCCGGUGCCGGAAGGUUAAUUGAUGGGGUUAGCGGUAACGCGAAGCUCUUGAUCGAAGCCCCGGUAAACGGCGGCCGUAACUAUAACGGUCCUAAGGUAGCGAAAUUCCUUGUCGGGUAAGUUCCGACCUGCACGAAUGGCGUAAUGAUGGCCAGGCUGUCUCCACCCGAGACUCAGUGAAAUUGAACUCGCUGUGAAGAUGCAGUGUACCCGCGGCAAGACGGAAAGACCCCGUGAACCUUUACUAUAGCUUGACACUGAACAUUGAGCCUUGAUGUGUAGGAUAGGUGGGAGGCUUUGAAGUGUGGACGCCAGUCUGCAUGGAGCCGACCUUGAAAUACCACCCUUUAAUGUUUGAUGUUCUAACGUUGGCCCGUAAUCCGGGUUGCGGACAGUGUCUGGUGGGUAGUUUGACUGGGGCGGUCUCCUCCUAAAGAGUAACGGAGGAGCACGAAGGUUGGCUAAUCCUGGUCGGACAUCAGGAGGUUAGUGCAAUGGCAUAAGCCAGCUUGACUGCGAGCGUGACGGCGCGAGCAGGUGCGAAAGCAGGUCAUAGUGAUCCGGUGGUUCUGAAUGGAAGGGCCAUCGCUCAACGGAUAAAAGGUACUCCGGGGAUAACAGGCUGAUACCGCCCAAGAGUUCAUAUCGACGGCGGUGUUUGGCACCUCGAUGUCGGCUCAUCACAUCCUGGGGCUGAAGUAGGUCCCAAGGGUAUGGCUGUUCGCCAUUUAAAGUGGUACGCGAGCUGGGUUUAGAACGUCGUGAGACAGUUCGGUCCCUAUCUGCCGUGGGCGCUGGAGAACUGAGGGGGGCUGCUCCUAGUACGAGAGGACCGGAGUGGACGCAUCACUGGUGUUCGGGUUGUCAUGCCAAUGGCACUGCCCGGUAGCUAAAUGCGGAAGAGAUAAGUGCUGAAAGCAUCUAAGCACGAAACUUGCCCCGAGAUGAGUUCUCCCUGACUCCUUGAGAGUCCUGAAGGAACGUUGAAGACGACGACGUUGAUAGGCCGGGUGUGUAAGCGCAGCGAUGCGUUGAGCUAACCGGUACUAAUGAACCGUGAGGCUUAACCUU
rnacentral:rRNA from 2 species